CCUACGGGGGGCUGCAGUGGGGAAUAUUGGACAAUGGGGGGAACCCUGAUCCAGCCAUGCCGCGUGUGUGAAGAAGGCCCUCGGGUUGUAAAGCACUUUCAGUGAGGAAGAACGCCUGGUGGUUAAUACCCAUCAGGAAAGACAUCACUCACAGAAGAAGCACCGGCUAACUCCGUGCCAGCAGCCGCGGUAAUACGGAGGGUGCGAGCGUUAAUCGGAAUUACUGGGCGUAAAGCGCGCGUAGGUGGCUUGAUAAGCCGGUUGUGAAAGCCCCGGGCUCAACCUGGGAACGGCAUCCGGAACUGUCAAGCUAGAGUGCAGGAGAGGAAGGUAGAAUUCCCGGUGUAGCGGUGAAAUGCGUAGAGAUCGGGAGGAAUGCCAGUGGCGAAGGCGGCCUUCUGGACUGACACUGACACUGAGGUGCGAAAGCGUGGGUAGCAAACAGGAUUAGAUACCCGGGUAGUC
rnacentral:rRNA from 1 species